rnacentral:rRNA from 1 species
AUACGGAGGGUGCAAGCGUUGUUCGGAAUCACUGGGCGUAAAGGGCGCGCAGGCGGUUUGGUAAGUCAGAUGUGAAAGCCCAUGGCUCAACCAUGGAAGUGCAUUUGAAACUGUCAGACUUGAGUACUAGAGGGGAAAGUGGAAUUCCCGGUGUAGAGGUGAAAUUCGUAGAUAUCGGGAGGAAUACCGGUGGCGAAGGCGACUUUCUGGCUAGAUACUGACGCUGAGGCGCGAAAGCGUGGGGAGCAAACAGGAUUAGAUACCCCGGUAGUCC